AUUGAUUGAUUUAUUCAUUCAUAGUUUUUCAUCCUUUUCGCUCUCAUCUUCAGCUUCUCACAUAACACUUGGCUCUCAGCCCUUUCUCUUCAGCUUUUAAAUUUCUUCCAUCUGGAAAAAGAAAAAACCGUUCUACAAUCUUGCAGUCUUGCAUGAGAAUCUACUUGUUGUCAUGUGCUGGCAUUUUCUUCCUCUCUAGAGCCUAGAAUAUGUAGAUUACAUUUCCUUCUUACUUUUUACCUUUGCCCACUCUUCAGUCAUUGAUUCUGCCCCAUCAAACUUCAGAGACAGCUGUCUCUCCAUGGCCACCAGUGAUUUCUUUCUUUCCCUCUUCCCUUCAUCCCCUCCCCACCAUUGAAUCCAGGGGCACUGUACCACCGAGCCACAGCCUACAUUUUUUGAGAUACAAUCUUGCUAAAUUGCUAAGACUGGCCUCCAAUUUGGAAUCCUCUGGCCUUAGCCUCCUGAGUAGCUGAGAUUAUUAGGCAUGUGCCACCAUG
rnacentral:lncRNA from 1 species